AUUGAACGCUGGCGGCAGGCCUAACACAUGCAAGUCGAGCGAGCGGCGGACGGGUGAGUAUUGUCUGUGAAACUGUCUGCUGGAGGGGGAUAACAACUGUAAACAGUAUCUCAUACCGCAUACCCUCUGGUGUGCGCAGAUGGGAUUAGCUAGUGGGUGGGGUAACGGCUCACCUAGGCGACGAUCCCUAGCUGGUCUGAGAGGAUGACCAGCCACACUGGAACUGAGACACGGUCCAGACUCCUACGGGAGGCAGCAGUGGGGAAUAUUGCACAAUGGGCGCAAGCCUGAUGCAGCCAUGCCGCGUGUGUGAAGAAGGCCUUCGGGUUGUAAAGCACUUUCAGCGGGGAGGCGGUACCUGCAGAAGAAGCACCGGCUAACUCCGUGCCAGCAGCCGCGGUAAUAC
rnacentral:rRNA from 1 species